rnacentral:rRNA from 1 species
AGAGUUAAACAGUACGUGAAAUUGUUGAAAGGGAAACGAUUGAAGCCAGUCGUACCGGCGGGAAAUCAACUUCUCGAGUGCUUGUCGUGGGUGAUGUGGAGCCUCACGGCCUUCGUUGCUUGCGUUAUGGUGCUUUUGCGGUGUACUUUUCCGUAUGGUAGGUCAAUAUCGAUUUUGAUUGUCAUAAAAUGAUCGGAGGAAUGUAGCUUUGAUCUCGUAUUGAAGUGUUAUAGCCUCCGGUAGAUGUGACGAUUGGGAUCGAGGAUUGCAACGAAUACCCUUUGGGCUAUCCGUCUGACCUCUGAUGGUAGGCUCGGGUGUUGAAAGCUUGCUUAUGACAUUUUAGUUGGCGGUCAAAAGGUUAGAACGCGAUUACAUUCGUUAAGGAUGUUGACGUAAUGGCUUUAAACGACC